rnacentral:rRNA from 1 species
UGAAUACGAGAUGCUACGGCAUCGAAGCAGUCUAUGUCAUACUUCCAAGAAAAGCUUGCACUGUCAUAAACAAAUAAUGCCUGUACCAUAACCGACACAGGUGGGUAGGUAGAGUAUACUAAGGGGCGCGAGAUAACUCUCUCUAAGGAACUCGGCAAAAUGACUCCGUAACUUCGGGAGAAGGAGUGCCUUAUCUUAUAAGGUUGCAAUAACAAGAUCCAAGCAACUGUUUACCAAAAACACAGGUCUCCGCUAAGUCGUAAGACGAUGUAUGGGGGCUGACGCCUGCCCAGUGCCAGAAGGUUAAAGAAGUUGGUUAGCAUUAGCGAAGCUGAUAACUGAAGCCCUGGUGAACGGCGGCCGUAACAAUAACGGUCCUAAGGUAGCGAAAUUCCUUGUCGGGUAAGUUCCGACCCGCACGAAAGGCGUAAUGAUUUGGAUACUGUCUCGGAGAGGGGCUCGGUGAAAUAGACUUGUCUGUGAAGAUGCGGACUACCUGCACCAGGACAGAAAGACCCUAUGAAGCCUUACUGUAACUUGAGAUUGAAAUUGGACUUUAUUUGCGCAGUAUAGGUGGGAGACGUUGAAAAUAUUCUUGCGGGAGUAUUGGAGUCAUCAGUGAGAUACCACUCUUAUAAUGUUAGAUUUCUAACUUUGUAUCAUUAUCUGGUCAAAGAACAGUCUCAGGCGGGCAGUUUGACUGGGGCGGUCGCCUCCCAAACGGUAACGGAGGCGCACAAAGGUUUCCUCUGAACGUGUAGAAAUCGUAUCUAGAGUGUAAAGGCAUAAGGAAGCUUGACUGUGAGACCUACAAGUCGAGCAGGGACGAAAGUCGGUCUUAGUGAUCUGACGGUGCUGAGUGGAAAGGCCGUCACUCAACGGAUAAAAGUUACUCUAAGGAUAACAGGCUGGUCUCCCCCAAGAGUUCACAUCGACGGGGAGGUUUGGCACCUCGAUGUCGGCUCAUCGCAUCCUGGGGCGGUAGUACGUCCCAAGGGUUGGGCUGUUCGCCCAUGAAAGCGGUACGCGAGCUGGGUUCAGAACGUCGUGAGACAGUUCGGUCCAUAUCCGGUGUAGGCGUUAGAAUAUUGAGAGGAGCCUUCUUUAGUACGAGAGGACCGAGAAGGACAUACCUCUGGUGUACCAGUUAUCGUGCCAACGGUAAACGCUGGGUAGCUAUGUAUGGAGAGGAUAACCGCUGAAAGCAUCCAAGUGGGAAGCCCACCUCAAGAUAAGUA